ensembl:lncRNA
AUGGGCGAUCGAUUGGCUAUGGCUGGCGGGGCUGAGCGCCCCCGCUUGGGACACGCCGGCACAGGCUGGAUGAGAAUGGGGAGGGAAGCUCUGCCGGGAAACGCCGCGCGGCUGCGCCGAGCCCCCGACACCCGGGGAGGUCCCUGCCCCAGUCUCUGGCCGCGCGGGGGCAGGGGGCGCAGCAGCUGCUCGGACCAGGAAGUCCCGGAUGUGCCCCCCCGCGCCGAGAAGCAGCUGUUGCCCCGUCACGUGACCGCGUACGUCACCGUCACCGCCCCCGCUGUUGUGGGGGGGGGGAGCCGUUGGUUCUUUCCCUGUGAGCCGCGCCGCCCCCAGAUAGGAACGGCCCUUCCCCCCGAGAGGGGCAUGGCCUGCGCCUGCUUAGUCCGGAGGGACGUGAGCGGGUGUGCCGGAGGGCCCGGUGGCAAGAAAAGGGGCCUCGGGGUUCACUGUCGUCUCCCUCGCAUAGACGGAAAGAGCCGCCCAGGAAAUGGAGCCAGCAGUGAGCGAAGGAAAGGAAGGGCUUGUCCUCCAGCCCGCGGCUGCGGAUGCAACUUGAGACCUCCAAGACAAAUGAUCUAGUCAUCUCCCUCUUGCUUCAUUUGUCACUGGUCUUCUGGAAAUCAGGCUAAGCUGGGGAAGAAAGAAGAGUUCUGAGUAAUUAUCUCCAUAUCUAAAAUAUUUUAUUCUUUUGCAUAAACUACAAAAAAAUUAAUACAAAUUUACCAAGAUUUUUUUAAUACCGCUAAUAUCUACUUCUAUACCAUAUCCAGUAUAUGCCCUUUACAGUCUGGCUGCCGUGUUAGUCUGAAUAUCUUUUUUGUCAUUGUAUUUGAACAAAGUUAAGCAGGUGUGUACAAUUAUGGCAUGUAAUUUUUGUUUUUAUUUUGGUGGUUCAGGGCCUGAUUCAUUGCCUUUAGUUGGAAUUGGACUAGACUGUUGAACAGCCAACCUUUCUCUAUCAUGGCUAAAGAUAUUUUUUCCAUGUCUUUUUUUUUUUUUUUUUUUUUAAAUGAAGGAUGUGCCCACUGCCUUACACCUUGUCUAGUCAUUUACACCUCCACCAAGUAGGUGAGGAAGGACUGUCAUUCUGAUCUGGUAGCCUUUAGCAUCUACUUGGUACUCUUGCGAUACAAAUAUAAAGUAAUGCCUGCAGUCACCAAGGCUAUGGGAAAAAAGGCCCCAGAGUUUUUGGAUCAGAUGCAAUGUGCAGAGUCUGAAAGAAAAGAACCACCAAUGGUUUUAUUUAAUUAUCUUCAAUCUUAUUUCUUUCCUCUUACCCUCUCUUCACCUCUCCUUUCAAAAGAUUGCCUCUACUAAGCUCUCUGUGGCAGCUAUAGUUGCUGCAAAAAUAUAUGUUUGUGUGUGUUCUUGUAAUCUCAUUCUUUUAAAUAGGUGACAUCUCAUUUAUGUGUAUUAACAGCUGAGCAUGAGUAGCAACAUUUAUUUAAAACCUCAUUUUGAGAUUUUCACAUUGCAGCAUUUUUUUCACUCAUGAUAAAGUAUUUGUUGGUUAUUUUCUAUGAGAGGGGAGAGAGAUCUGCAUUCAUUUUUCUGCCUUUGGUAUUUUCAUUCCUAGGACACUAUGCACUUCAUUGCUAAUUAAUAUUCAGUAACUGUUGUAGGGUUACAGUCAGUUGGUAUGAAUCAGAAGUAAAAUGUCGUUUUAGAAGAUCAAAAACUAUGAGGUACCUUUACUUGAUUUCCAAGGAGAACAUAUUUAAUGAAGCAGGAUAUAAUACUUACUAGAUAGUCUUGUACCACAGCAUGUAUUCUGUAAUAAAAGGCUUUUUUUCCCCCUCUUGCUGUAGUGG